ensembl:lncRNA
GGAGAGAGAGAGGCAGGGAGAGGUGGAGAGAGAGAGGGAGGAAGGGAGAGGUGGAGAGAGAGAGGGAGGAAGGGAGAGGUGGAGAGAGAGAGGGAGGAAGGGAGAGGUGGAGAGAGAGAGGGAGGAUGGGAGAGGUGGAGAGAGCGGGAGGAAGGGAGAGGUGGAGAGAGAGAGGGAGGAAGGGAGAGGUGGAGAGAGAAAGGGAGGAAGGGAGAGGUGGAGAGAGAGAGGCAGAGCAUCCAGGGUGAGGAGAGGGAACUGGGAUGAGGACUUUUUCCUUUUUUCUUCUUUUUCUCUUUUUUUUAAACAAGGGAUGCGGAGAUGGCAGAGAUGGACAGCUGCAAUCAAAGGGGCCGCAUCGAGAUGCUGGCUGACAACCAAUCAACUGUAUUGCGUUCCACUCAAAAUUCAGCCUGUUUUUUCUUUCUUUCUUUCUUUCUUUCUUUCUUUUCAGUGACGCCAUUGUCAGAAAGGGUCUCUUGAUGUGUCCCUGGGUGAACUGAUCCUUAAACCCAAUUUAAAUACGGUUACGCUUCAAAAAUACCAUUGGCGCAUGUAAUAUUAAUGCCGUGUAUUGUGUGUAAUUUAUACACAGAGAAAAGGAAGCGGGUUGGGGGUUGUGAAGGUAGUUGGCAGCACUUCUGAAACCUUGAGGCAUCAUGACUGUAGGUGGGGUUUGAGUGUGUCUGUCUUCCGAGGGAGGGGUUGGGUGUUUUGUUCUUUGAACUGGAUGAAAGCAGGUUGGCAAUGGAUGGGGGAGGGAGUUGAAGAGGGUUUUGUCGGAGGACUUGGGUAGUGGCAUGGGUGGGUAUAUACCCCCAAAGGAGGCUUCAGUGGAAGGGGGGGGGGGCGUGCAAGUUUGUGUUCAGAGAGAGAGAGGAGGAGUGAGUUGUGUGAGUCGGCUAAAAGGUUGCUCUCCCUCAGCUGGGGGGGCCGGCGUCCUGUCGGACCUUGAGGGACAGUGGACACGGCCUCUUAUUAAGAGCUUUAAACGCCUCGACAGGCACACUGUCGGCUGCUGCUGCAAGGUCACACACUCAAACUCCCAGUAGGGGGACAAAUAGCAGAGGCUCCAGACUGAAAUGACUUGUGGGGCUUUUUGCAGAUCCCAGCAGUGAGAGGAAGAGAGAAUGACAAGGAGAGGGGAAGAGAGAGAAAGAGAGAGAACCAGAGAAAAAGAGUCAGGUGUCUGAAAGCUAUUUUAUGUUACGGAGGAUAGAUUUUUGCCACUCUGGCCUCUGCGGGGAGAAAUCAAUAGCACGCUUCAGUGGUGGCUCACCUGUUUGCUGUCCUCAAC